rnacentral:rRNA from 1 species
GAUGAACGCUAGCGGCAGGCCUAAUACAUGCAAGUCGAACGGUAAACGGCCCUUCGGGGCUGUGAGAGUGGCGCACGGGUGCGUAACGCGUAUGCAACCUACCCAAUGCUGGCGGAUAGCCCGGAGAAAUUCGGAUUAAGCCGUCAUGAGGAGCUUUGGAGGCAUCUUCGAGGUUUCAAAUAUUUAUAGGCGUUGGAUGGGCAUGCGUGCUAUUAGAUAGUUGGCGGGGUAACGGCCCACCAAGUCGACGAUGUCUAGGGGUUCUGAGAGGAAGGUCCCCCACACUGGUACUGAGACACGGACCAGACUCCUACGGGAGGCAGCAGUGAGGAAUAUUGGUCAAUGGGCGGGAGCCUGAACCAGCCAAGUCGCGUGAGGGAAGACGGCCCUACGGGUUGUAAACCUCUUUAGUCGGGGAGCAAAAAGGACCACGCGUGGUCCAUUGAGCGUACCCGAAGAAUAAGCAUCGGCUAACUCCGUG